UGGGGAAUAUUGGACAAUGCCCGAAAGGGUGAUCCAGCGACGCCGCGUGGGUGAUGAAGGCCUUCGGGUCUUAAAACCCUGUCAAGCGGGAAGAAUAUAUGACGGUACCGCUAAAGGAAGCCCCGGCUAACUCCGUGCCAGCAGCCGCGGUAAUACGGAGGGGGCAAGCGUUACCCGGAUUUACUGGGUGUAAAGGGUCCGCAGGCGGUUAAGCAAGUCAGUUUUUAAAUACUCUGGCUCAACCAGAGAAUUGGAACAGAUACUGCUUAACUAUGAGUCUAGAGGGGAAAACGGAACUGCCGGUGUAGCGGUGAAAUGCGUAGAUAUCGGCAGGAACACCUGUGGCGAAGGCGGUUUUCACUCUGGUACUGACGCUCAUGGACGAAAGCGUGGGGAGCGAUC
rnacentral:rRNA from 1 species